GCUAGAUGUAAACCCUGUAAGUGGCAGCUUGUGGAAUGCUUGGAGCCAGAGAGUUGAGGCUGUUAGGGAAUUAAGAUUUUCCUUGGAUGCGACUGUUGUUAAAAAUGAUUUUGGCCAGAUACCAGAGAUAAGUGGUGAAAAUGUUGCAGAACGUGACUUCUUACAGACAGAGAGGGAUCCUGGCGCAGCAGGUUAUACAAUUAAAGAAGCAGUAGCACUCACAAGAAGCACGAUUCCAGGACAAAGGGCCCUUGCACUACAUCUCCUUGCAUCCGUGCUUGAUAAGGUAUUACAUAAUAUUUCUCUCAAUCCUGUUGGCUCUACUCUGACCGAUAAUAACAUUGUUGAUGGUGCUGUUGAUUGGGAAGCUGUUUGGGCUUUUGCACUGAGCCCAGAACCU